AGUGAACGCUGGCGGUAGGCCUAACACAUGCAAGUCGAACGGCAGCACAGUAAGAGCUUGCUCUUACGGGUGGCGAGUGGCGGACGGGUGAGGAAUACAUCGGAAUCUACUUUUUCGUGGGGGAUAACGUAGGGAAACUUACGCUAAUACCGCAUACGACCUACGGGUGAAAGCAGGGGAUCUUCGGACCUUGCGCGAUUGAAUGCGCCGAUGUCGGAUUAGCUAGUUGGCGGGGUAAAGGCCCACCAAGGCGACGAUCCGUAGCUGGUCUGAGAGGAUGAUCAGCCACACUGGAACUGAGACAAGGUCCAGACUCCUACGGGAGGCAGCAGUGGGGAAUAUUGGACAAUGGGCGCAGGCCUGAACCAGCCAUGCCGCGUGGGUGAAGAAGGCCUUCGGGUUGUAAAGCCCUUUUGUUGGGAAAGAAAAGCAGCAGGUUAAUACCCCGCUGUUCUGACGGUACCCAAAGAAUAAGCACCGGCUAACUUCGUG
rnacentral:rRNA from 1 species